rnacentral:lncRNA from 1 species
AAAUAAAAUUAUGUUACAGCAAGUGGACAUGUAAUGUCAAUAAAUUAGUGAAUAAACUACUAUUUAUCAUCUUCAUGGUAGUACUGCAUCAUUGAAGUUUGUCAAUUAGCCAUGCUUUAAUUCUUAUUCUGUGUAAGAACCUCCUUGCAGUUGAAAAAUCAUUUGCCAUGUUCACGUUUUUACAAUUCUGACCAACAAACAGAGGAAUCACAAGUUCAAUAUCUAGCAUGUUAAAAUAAUCUUCAGAGAAAACACUUUUGAUUGGCUGAUUAAUUUGAACAUGAAAAACACGCAAUUUGAUUGGCUGAACACGAUUUUCCUCCAUUAGACACAGUUCAAAAUCGGGAACAACAAUAUUUUUCGUGUAGAUUUUCACCAAAUCGUGUUUUUCAGGAACACGAUUGUGCAAUCGUGACAAAGGGUCAAAAUCGUGUAGUACACGCCUAAAUCGUGAAAGUUGGCAGGUAUGCUUAAGGCACUGUCAUUGUACAUAUAAUUGACAAAUUUUAGAUAUAUUAUUGUACAAAGAAUUUACAGAUUUACAAAUAAUUUUAAAAAAUUAGCAUUAUCACUAUAAAAAAUAAAGAGAUGUGGUAUAAUUGCGAACUGUCCACCAAAGUUCAAAUGAAGUGGAUGUAAGCAAUUUUAGCCAACCCCACGGCCUUCAACAAUGAGAAAACCAAUAUCGUAGAAAAUCGGCUAUAAACCCUGACAUGAAAAAUAUGAAACUCUUCAAUUGAGAAAACUAACAGCCUAAUUCAUAGCAGAACAAUUUACGAAAAACAAAUAUAACAGACAGUGGACCUGCGACAACCACUAAACUACAGGCUCCUGAUUUGGGACAGGCACAUAAAGAAUGUGGUGCAGUUAAUCAUGUUUGUGGGCGCUAAACCCUCCCCUAACCUGGGACAAUGGUGUGUAAUCAGAGGGCUUAACUCAUCAGAUGGAUACAAAGCAGAAAAAAACAAAAACAUAAAACGGACGUGGCAGAGUAUUUAUCCAUUCCCUCAUCCCUAACAACAAAUAAGACUCUAUGAUUAUAAAUUUGAUAGUCCUCCCAGGUACUGACAGUUAGUUCAAAGCCAAUAGCAACGAAUAAAAAAAAUCAUGUUACUUAGAUUGAAAUAUCAUUCAGUACACACCCAACAUCCACUGAAUUUAGUGUAAAGAUGACAUUAAGAGUCAGAGAAAAACAUAUCUUGUGCAAUGCCAAAAUGUAGGUAUCAACAGAUUGUACCGUGAAAUAAGCAUGUAUAACAAGAAUAUUAAGUAUGGUUUUUAUUUUACCUGUUAAAAAAAAAAAAAAAAAAUUGUACCAAUAAAAACAAAAUUCAAAGAUUUAAUUCAAAUAUGGAAUUGGUAACCUUUUAUAAUAAGUUAUUUAAAGGAUUGAUAAGUUUACAUGGAUCGUAUCUAAAUUUCCUGUCUCGGUUUACAACAUCACUGUAAACUUUACGAUUUGCUAUUCCGUUUGAAUUAAGUAUUCUACAGGUACAGCUAAACUUGCAAACUAAAUGUUUGUAUCUAUGGAAGAAUUUAGUAAAGGUUUUAAGUCAUUCUUAGUAACGAAAUCUCUGACAUAAUUUACUAGUAAUACAUUGAAAUCAAAAACGUCACUACUGACCUGGGCAUAACAAACGAGUUGGGAUAUAUAAACACUGUUAGACGUUGCCAAAGGAACAUCAUUGUUCAAAAAAGGAAAAUUAUUUAUAGGGAAAGAAAAAUCACCCCUUUUGUCGUAACUUUUUGUGUAGUUUUUAUCAUUAUACAGAUAAUAGACUACUUUCAAGUUAUGUCCUUCACUUCAAAUGUUCUUCAAUUAUGCUUGCCUUUAUAACGUCAUUUACCAGAUAGAGAAAACCACCUGUAUCCCUGCACUAUCAAGUUCACCAAGCAUCUUUGGGAUUGUCUUUAUGCAGGAUAAACUAAAAAUAAUGUUUGUUCCAAAGAUUUUUAAUCACAAUUCCAUUAUGACAUCAGUGCUGAUAACCAAUUAUAAGAAUUUAAUUUGCCGAAAAUUAGUGCAAUAUAUAUAAGAUCAUAUUUGUUCAAUCGCAUUGGAAGGAGGUGACGAUACGAAUGAUGUCAACUAAAACCUAGAUUUUUUUACGGAAAUGCAUGAACUCGAAAAUGGUCGAUUGACAGAUUUUAGGACUAUCAUUGUAUAGAAAAUUGUCAGAAUAUAGCACUGUCAUUGUAUGUAUAACUGAGAUGUUUAAGCACUAUCAUUGAACAGAUAACUGACAGAUUUUAUCACUGUGAUUGUACAGAUAACUGACAUAUUUUAUCACUGUGAUUGUACAGAUAACUUACAGAUUUUAUCACUGUGAUUGUACAGAUAACUUACAGAUUUUAUCACUGUGAUUGUACAGAUAACUUACAGAUUUUAUCACUGUGAUUGUACAGAUAACUGACAUAUUUUAUCACUAUGAUUGUAAAUGUAACUGACAGAAUUUAGCAUUUUGUUUUAUUGUACAUAUAAUAACUGACGGAUUUUAUCACUAUCAUUGUACAUAUAAAUGACAUAUUUUAGCACUGACAUUAUUGAGACAAUCAAUAUUUUAAAAUCAUUCAGGCUUCUGUUUUAAAUUUAUAUAUCUUUUAAAUAUAUUGUGUAAUACUAGUUUAUCUUAUAUGAUAUGUAUAAUGACUUAAUGUGAUUGGUUUAGGGCUCCUGGGUAUAAAUGAUUUUUUUUUCUAAUAUAGGAUUUCGCUAUAUUUUUUCAUAAAUGAACUUUAUCAUAUACUGAAAAGAAAAAUGAAAUAAAAAAAUGGGGUCACCGUUCAUUUAAGCUAAAAUCUGCCUCUGGAAGAAGCAUACAUUUUUGUUAAUGCCCUUUUUUUCUGUUGAACUAAUAGGAGAAAAAGAGGAAAUAUCAAAAUAAAAAAAUAACCUAAUAUAAGAAAUCGCUUACAUUUUACAACUAUUUACUUUAUGUAGAGCUUAUUUGAAAACAGUAAUAAAAAAUAUAGGUCACCG